AGUGCACUGGGGUAGGUAUCCCACUGUGCAACUGGCUGCAGGAUGCGUUGAGAAGGGUUUGCAAUGCCUCAUGGGGCAGGUACCGCGUCACAUGAUGCAGGUUUCUCAAUCCCAUCGUUCAGGAGGCAUCCUUCUAGAUUGCCAGCCACUUUUCAACUGAAAGGGGCGGGGGGGAGGAGAAUGGUGUGUCUGGGGCAGGGGAGACAGCAGGCUGACAGACAUAUCCUGAGGCAGGGAGAGGGGGACCCCCCCACACACACACACACCCCAGCAUCAGGCCCCGGCUCUGCUCAGCACAGCAGUCUCUCCUGAAGCAGCCCACUCUGCCUCCCUGCCUGCGGUUCUGCGAUUCCUGCCAAGUUCUCCCACAGCCUCCUCAGCUGCCAGGAGCAGCAACCAGCUCCAUAAGUUCUGUGCUGAGGAACGUCAAAGCAGCACAACCGUCCCUCCCUCCCCACCCCCAGCAGCUGUCUGCAUGCCGGUGUCCCUAGUGCAGGACAGAACAGGGGCAUUCCAAUGAUUUGCUCUUUGUUCCCCAAACAGAGCAGCACGCUCAGCUGUCAGAUCCUUCCUGGAGCUUUGAAAUGGGGGGGAAGGGGGGGGAAGAGGCACAUGCCUGCAGGGCAGCAGCGUUCAAAACAGUGAGCAAUGCAGUCCUGGCAAGCAUUGUAGGAUUUUGGUGGAAGCCAGUUAUGUCAGCAAAACAAAGAGCAGUGUCUACACUGAUGCUUUGUCACCAACUUUGCCACAGAAAGCCCUGUGCCUCUCGUCAACAUAGUUUCGUUUUGUCAGCAAAACAGCAGAGUUUUGCUGCCAAAAGUAGCUCUGUACUGUGUACACCUCCCCUGCUUUUGUAGACAAGGCCUUUGAAUUCAAGCUGUAGCAAGCUAUGGUGGUAACAACAGUAUUUGGUUUUUUUACUUAAUUAGCAGGAUCACAAAAUCUCUUUCAUCUGCUUCCUAUUCUUUAUCUUGUCUUCUUUCUUGUC